rnacentral:lncRNA from 1 species
AUGUGUAACCACUUAUCUUUAUCUUCUCAUGCGAAUAAGAAACGUUCGACAUUGUUUUAAAAAAAGGAGAAAGAUGGGGCAUGUGUAAAAAAAUUUUGAGAAAGAAAGUGGGGCAUGAGGAAGCCUUGUGCAUGAGGUGAAGGUCCAAAACCUUCUGAGAGAAAAAGAAUGAAAAGAAAGAAAAUUGGGCGUAGGGUUUUCAGUGUGUUCCCUAAGUUUACAGCCUGG